rnacentral:rRNA from 1 species
UACGUAGGGGGCAAGCGUUGUCCGGAUUUAUUGGGCGUAAAGAGCGUGUAGGCGGCCACACAGGUCUGCUGUGAAAACUCGAGGCUCAACCUCGAGCUGUCGGUGGAAACCGUGUGGCUAGAGUCCGGAAGAGGAGAGUGGAAUUCCCGGUGUAGCGGUGAAAUGCGCAGAUAUCGGGAAGAGCACCCGUGGCGAAGGCGGCUCUCUGGGACGGUACUGACGCUGAGACGCGAAAGCGUGGGGAGCGAACAGG